GGGUUGUGAGGUUAAGCGACUAAGCGUACACGGUGGAUGCCCUGGCAGUCAGAGGCGAUGAAGGACGUGCUAAUCUGCGAAAAGCGACGGCGAGGUGAUAUGAACCUUUGACCCGUCGAUGUCCGAAUGGGGAAACCCAGUGUGAUUCGUCACACUAUCGUUAACUGAAUACAUAGGUUAACGAGGCGAACCGGGGGAACUGAAACAUCUAAGUACCCCGAGGAAAAGAAAUCAACCGAGAUUCCCCCAGUAGCGGCGAGCGAACGGGGAGCAGCCCGGAGUCUGAAUCAGCUUGUGUGUUAGUGGAAGCGUCUGGAAAGUCGCACGGUACAGGGUGACAGUCCCGUACACGAAAAUGCACAGGUUGUGAACUCGAAGAGUAGGGCGGGACACGUGGUAUCCUGUCUGAAUAUGGGGGGACCAUCCUCCAAGGCUAAAUACUCCUGACUGACCGAUAGUGAACCAGUACCGUGAGGGAAAGGCGAAAAGAACCCCGGCGAGGGGAGUGAAAAAGAACCUGAAACCGUGUACGUACAAGCAGUGGGAGCACCUUCGGGUGUGACUGCGUACCUUUUGUAUAAUGGGUCAGCGACUUAUAUUCUGUAGCAAGGUUAACCGUAUAGGGGAGCCGCAGGGAAACCGAGUCUUAACUGGGCGUUAAGUUGCAGGGUAUAGACCCGAAACCCGGUGAUCUAGCCAUGGGCAGGUUGAAGGUUGGGUAACACUAACUGGAGGACCGAACCGACUAAUGUUGAAAAAUUAGCGGAUGACCUGUGGCUGGGGGUGAAAGGCCAAUCAAACCGGGAGAUAGCUGGUUCUCCCCGAAAGCUAUUUAGGUAGCGCCUCGUGAACUCAUCUUCGGGGGUAGAGCACUGUUUCGGCUAGGGGGCCAUCCCGGCUUACCAACCCGAUGCAAACUACGAAUACCGAAGAAUGUUAUCACGGGAGACACACGGCGGGUGCUAACGUCCGUCGUGAAGAGGGAAACAACCCAGACCGCCAGCUAAGGUCCCAAAGUCAUGGUUAAGUGGGAAACGAUGUGGGAAGGCACAGACAGCCAGGAUGUUGGCUUAGAAGCAGCCAUCAUUUAAAGAAAGCGUAAUAGCUCACUGGUCGAGUCGGCCUGCGCGGAAGAUGUAACGGGGCUAAACCAUGCACCGAAGCUGCGGCAGCGACGCUUAUGCGUUGUUGGGUAGGGGAGCGUUCUGUAAGCCGUUGAAGGUGUGCUGUGAGGCAUGCUGGAGGUAUCAGAAGUGCGAAUGCUGACAUAAGUAACGAUAAAGCGGGUGAAAAGCCCGCUCGCCGGAAGACCAAGGGUUCCUGUCCAACGUUAAUCGGGGCAGGGUGAGUCGACCCCUAAGGCGAGGCCGAAAGGCGUAGUCGAUGGGAAACAGGUUAAUAUUCCUGUACUUGGUGUUACUGCGAAGGGGGGACGGAGAAGGCUAUGUCAGCCGGGCGACGGUUGUCCCGGUUUAAGCGUGUAGGUGUGUGUUCCAGGCAAAUCCGGUUCACUUUAACACUGAGGCGUGAUGACGAGGCACUACGGUGCUGAAGUGAUAAAUGCCCUGCUUCCAGGAAAAGCCUCUAAGCAUCAGGUAACACGAAAUCGUACCCCAAACCGACACAGGUGGUCAGGUAGAGAAUACCAAGGCGCUUGAGAGAACUCGGGUGAAGGAACUAGGCAAAAUGGUGCCGUAACUUCGGGAGAAGGCACGCUGAUAUGUAGGUGAAGUCCCUGCGGACGGAGCUGAAAUCAGUCGAAGAUACCAGCUGGCUGCAACUGUUUAUUAAAAACACAGCACUGUGCAAACACGAAAGUGGACGUAUACGGUGUGACGCCUGCCCGGUGCCGGAAGGUUAAUUGAUGGGGUUAGCGGCAACGCGAAGCUCUUGAUCGAAGCCCCGGUAAACGGCGGCCGUAACUAUAACGGUCCUAAGGUAGCGAAAUUCCUUGUCGGGUAAGUUCCGACCUGCACGAAUGGCGUAAUGAUGGCCAGGCUGUCUCCACCCGAGACUCAGUGAAAUUGAACUCGCUGUGAAGAUGCAGUGUACCCGCGGCAAGACGGAAAGACCCCGUGAACCUUUACUAUAGCUUGACACUGAACACUGGUCCUUGAUGUGUAGGAUAGGUGGGAGGCUUUGAAGCGUGGACGCCAGUCUGCGUGGAGCCGUCCUUGAAAUACCACCCUUUAAUGGCUGGUGUUCUAACGUGGACCCGUGAUCCGGGUUGCGGACAGUGUCUGGUGGGUAGUUUGACUGGGGCGGUCUCCUCCCAAAGAGUAACGGAGGAGCACGAAGGUUAGCUAAUCCUGGUCGGACAUCAGGAGGUUAGUGCAAUGGCAUAAGCUAGCUUGACUGCGAGAGUGACGGCUCGAGCAGGUGCGAAAGCAGGUCAUAGUGAUCCGGUGGUUCUGAAUGGAAGGGCCAUCGCUCAACGGAUAAAAGGUACUCCGGGGAUAACAGGCUGAUACCGCCCAAGAGUUCAUAUCGACGGCGGUGUUUGGCACCUCGAUGUCGGCUCAUCACAUCCUGGGGCUGAAGUAGGUCCCAAGGGUAUGGCUGUUCGCCAUUUAAAGUGGUACGCGAGCUGGGUUUAGAACGUCGUGAGACAGUUCGGUCCCUAUCUGCCGUGGGCGCUGGAGAAUUGAGGGGGGCUGCUCCUAGUACGAGAGGACCGGAGUGGACGCAUCACUGGUGUUCGGGUUGUCAUGCCAAUGGCACUGCCCGGUAGCUAAAUGCGGAAGAGAUAAGUGCUGAAAGCAUCUAAGCACGAAACUUGCCCCGAGAUGAGUUCUCCCUGAGACUUUAAGUCUCCUGAAGGAACGUUGAAGACGACGACGUUGAUAGGCCGGGUGUGUAAGCGCAGCGAUGCGUUGAGCUAACCGGUACUAAUGAACCGUGAGGCUUAACCUUACAACGCCGAAGCUGUU
rnacentral:rRNA from 1 species